AGAGUUUGAUCCUGGCUCAGGAUGAACGCUGGCGGCGUGCCUAACACAUGCAAGUCGAACGAAGCGCCCGCGCGGAUUCCCUCGGGAUGAAGCGCGGAUGACUGAGUGGCGGACGGGUGAGUCACGCGUGGGCAACCUGCCCCGUGCCGGGGGACAACAGCCGGAAACGGCUGCUAAUACCGCAUGAUCCGGGAGGGCCGCAUGGCCCUGCCGGGAAAGCUCCGGCGGCACGGGAUGGGCCCGCGUCUGAUUAGUUUGUUGGCGGGGGUAACGGCCCACCAAGACUGCGAUCAGCAGCCGGCCUGAGAGGGCGGCCGGCCACAUUGGGACUGAGACACGGCCCAGACUCCUGCGGGAGGCAGCAGUGGGGAAUAUUGCACAAUGGGGGAAACCCUGAUGCAGCGACGCCGCGUGGGCGACGAAGCGCUCCGGCGCGUAAAGCCCUGUCAGCAGGGAAGAACAAAGACAGUACCUGACCAAGAAGCCCCGGCUAACUACGUGCCAGCAGCCGCGGUAAUACGUAGGGGGCAAGCGUUAUCCGGAUUCACUGGGCGUAAAGGGAGCGCAGGCGGCACGGCAAGUCUGGUGUGAAAGCCCGGGGCCCAACCCCGGGACUGCAUUGGAAACUGCCGGGCUGGAGUGCCGGAGGGGUAAGCGGAAUUCCUGGUGUAGCGGUGAAAUGCGCAGAUAUCAGGAAGAACACCGGUGGCGUAGGCGGCUUACUGGACGGCAACUGACGCUGAGGCUCGAAAGCGUGGGGAGCAAACAGGAUUAGAUACCCUGGUAGUCCACGCCGUAAACG
rnacentral:rRNA from 1 species